UACGUAGGGGGCAAGCGUUGUCCGGAUUUAUUGGGCGUAAAAGGCUUGUAGGUGGCCACGCCAAGUCGGAUGUGAAAUCUCCCGGCUCAACUGGGAGGGGUCAUUCGAUACUGGCGGGCUCGAGGCCGGUAGGGGGAAGUGGAAUUCCCGGUGUAGCGGUGAAAUGCGUAGAUAUCGGAAGGAACACCAGUGGCGAAAGCGGCUUCCUGGUCCAGCACCGACGUUCAGGCACGAAAGCGUGGGGAGCAAACAGG
rnacentral:rRNA from 1 species